CUUUUAUAUAUACAUAUAAUAUUAGUUAAGACAAAUUAAAAAAAUACUUUAAAUUAUUAUUGAUAAGUCUGCAUUAACAUUUGAUUGUCAGCAUAUAUAUUAUUUACCGACCGUCCCUAAAGCAAGUGGCAAAGGAUUUGGUGAUUGGUAUCCGAGAUCACCUAAAUUCGAAUCUUAGUUGAUUCACAUUUCUUGCUAAGUUUAUUUCUAAAUGAAAUAAACGAAG
rnacentral:lncRNA from 1 species